rnacentral:rRNA from 1 species
UGGGUAACCUGCCUCAAAGAGGGGAAUAGCCUCCCGAAAGGGAGAUUAAUACCGCAUAAUAUGUUUAAGUCGCAUGACUUUAACAUCAAAGGAUUUUUCUUUUAAGAAAUUCCACUUUGAAAUGGACCCGCGGCGCAUUAGCUAGUUGGUGAGGUAACGGCUCACCAAGGCAACGAUGCGUAGCCGACCUGAGAGGGUGAUCGGCCACAUUGGAACUGAGACACAGUCCAGACUCCGUAGGAGG